AAUAGCACUUUUAUUUGGGACUGUUUGGCUCUGAGCGGGUGGGCGGAGGAGGAGGCGGCCGACGGGGCUGCGGGGGAGGGGGUGGUCAGCGGCAUCUGGCUACACACCUGCUCCUGCUUAACCCUGGUUAAAGCCUCUGGAAGAGGCCGGGCUAGCACCAGAGAAGAAAAGCAGAAGGAUGUGUUCUCCGACUCUGGGAGGUAGUCACACUGGGUCUCCAUUCCUGUGAUGACCUGGGUAACUGAGGAGAAUUAUUCAAAUAACCCACCCCCCUCUCCCAGUCGCUUUACUUUGAAAACCAGUGCCUGGACUAUACUGGGAGCAAACUGAGGCUCAGAGAGGAGAAGCGACUUGCCCAAGAUCACACAGCAAGUUUGUGCCAGAGCCUGGGCUAGUACAUAGAUUGCCUGAAGGCCUAUCGGGGAGAACCCCUGUAGGGUUUUGAAGAGGAGGAAGCUGCUGCCGGUGCCCCUGUAGCCAGCACAGAAAGCCCCAGGGCCUGGCUCUGGGAUGCUGACUGUGGGCAC